CUUGCUUUUGGAAGGCUCACUUGGAGGAAACCAGCUGUUCUCUAAGAAGUGUGAUUGUCCUGUGACCACCAUGCCAUGGAAAGUCAGAGCUCUGUGCAGAGGUCCUGGAGGAAGAGAUCCUGCAUGGAGAGUCGGGGGCCACGUGUGUGAGAAAGCUAUCUUAGAAAUGGAUUCUCCAGCCCACCCACCCCAGCUGAGGCCACAUGGAUCAAGAUGAACCAGCCAGCAAGCUCUUCUCACAUUUCUGAUCCACAAAGUUUGCCACCACCUGACUUUAAAGUGGCUAAGUGUUCUCACAAUUGCCAAGCGUGGAUAGGGAAAUCACCUUUUUGUUACUGGAUGUUAAUUUGGAGGAAAUUAAAGAAAAGCAUACCGUCACUUAAAGGAGGAAGCUGAAGCCACUGUGAGAAGUGCAUCCUGAUAGGCUGAGGCCACUGAUUUCUAAUCCUGAGGCGGGGCUUUAUGUUAUUUAACCAUGUUAAAACUGUGACCGAAGACAUUCUAAACUGUGGAGCUGUGGUUGAGCAUUGAAAGAGGAAAUCUCUUGGCUGGCAUCUUGAAGAAGAUUUUCUUAUAUUCUUGGAGGGGUCCGUAAAGCACAUUUAAAAUAGCCAUCUUGGAACAUUUUACUUUUUUUUAAUUAAAAAUAUUUAAUUAUUGCCAAAAGCUAUUUGCUGGAAUUGUGGAAAAAUGUUUACAGAUGCCUUAGGAAGAAAACAGCAGAAUGUGGAACUAAUUGUGUUGAUUCAAGAUAAUUAUGAAACACAAAUGACCAUUACUUAUAACAAGUCCCCUGACAAUUAGGGGUUGACUCCAGGGAUCAGGCUCAAAUGAAGGAAAAAAA
rnacentral:lncRNA from 1 species